rnacentral:rRNA from 1 species
ACCGACCCUUCGGGAGCUUGCACAGGUGCUGCAUGGCUGUCGUCAGCUCGUGUCGUGAGAUGUUCGGUUAAGUCCGCUAACGAGCGCAACCCUCGCUGUGUGUUACAAGUGUCACACGUACGUCGCCGGUCUUAAGCCGGAGGAAGGUGGGGAUGACGUCAAGUCAGCAUGGCCUUUAUGUCCUGGGCUACACACACGCUACAAUGGCCAACACAAUAGGUUGCUAAGCCGCGAGGUGGAGCCAAUCCUCAAAGUUGGUCUCAGUUCAGAUUGCAGGCUGCAACCCGCCUGCAUGAAGUCGGAAUCGCUAGUAAUCGCAGGUCAGCAUACUGCGGUGAAUACGUUCCCGGGCCUU